rnacentral:ncRNA from 2 species
GGCAAACGCUAGGGGUCCUAUGCGUCGCCACAACGGCGCGUGGGUGAGAAAUACCCUCCGAACCUGAUCUGGAUAAUGCCAGCGAAGGGAAGCAGCCGAAUCGAUGC